GCCAAGAGAGAAUCCAGUGGGUGGCCAGCAGGUGCCCAGAGGUGUGCCUAGGCAUGGAGCUGGGAAAUCUCCUUGGCCCCAAGUUUUCUGCUUGGGGAUGGAGGGUGGCUUAAGCUCCUAUUUGAGGAAAGUAGGUGCUCUGGGUACCUGGAGAUCUACCUGGAUGUGGAGCAGAGAGGACCUCCCCUGCACCAGGUUGUCUGUAAAGGAAGGAUGGGGCAGCUUGGGAUGGUAAUACAGGUGAAUUGGUGCUCUGAAUUCCUGGAGAUCUUCCUGGGGACAGAGUGGGGAGAUGCUCACUGCAUCAUAAUCUAUGAGCCAUGCUAGACCACAGUUUAUGCCCAGGAAGUGUGGGGCAGCUCAGGCUGCUGAAGCAGGUGAAUGGGUACCCUGCAUGCAUGGACAUCUGUCUGGGCAUGGAGUGGAGAGGGCCUGACUGCAACUAUAUUAUAUAGUAUAUAUAUUAUAUAUACUAUAUUAUAUAGUAUAUUACAUAUAAUUUUAUAUAUUUUAUAAUUAUAAUUUAUAAUUAUAUAUUUACAAUUAUAAUUUA
rnacentral:lncRNA from 1 species